rnacentral:tRNA from 1 species
CCUUCGAUAGCUCAGUUGGUAGAGCGGUGGACUGUAGUCGGUUACGAAGUAUGAAGAUAUCCAUAGGUCGCUGGUUCAAAUCCGGCUCGAAGGA